rnacentral:misc_RNA from 1 species
GAUGAAGAACGUAGUGAAAUGCGAUAAGUAGUGUGAAUUGCAGAAUUCAGUGAAUCAUCGAAUCUUUGAACGCACAUUGCGCCCCAUGGUAUUCCGUGGGGCAUGCCUGUUCGAGCGUCAUUUACCCCCUCAAGCUCCGCUUGGUGUUGGGCGUCUGUCCCGCUUCGCGCGCGGACUCGCCCCAAAGGUAUUGGCAGCGGUCGUGCCAGCUUCUCGCGCAGCACAUUGCGCUUCUCGAGGCACCGGUGGGCCCGCGUCCAUCAAGCUCACCCCCCCAGUUUGACCUCGGAUCUGGUAGGGAUACCCGCUGAACUUAAGCAUAUCAAUAAGCGGAGGA